rnacentral:sRNA from 1 species
AUGUCGGACAACGGGACGCCUUAUACAGAUGCAUUUUCAUUUAUUUCUCCCGAAUCAAGGAACGAAGCGAACACAGAUCACGACAAAGAAAAUACUGAAGAAACCUCUGAAGGAGCUGCUAAGGACUCUGAACAAGCAAACCAGACCUACACAUUAAGGCCGCGUGAUCGCAAGAUGACCCCGAAAGGUUUAGAUUGGCAAGUCGAUAAGAUAUGCUCAGACUUUAAGCUUCAUGUUUCAAGAUGGCGGAAGUGUGCCUCUUCUAUUGAAAUUCUUAUCUCGGAUUCGAGUGAUACCAAGCACAUUAGACGAGAAAGAGACAUUCUUAUGAACAUUAUGACUACUCUAAGUGAAAUUUAUGAUAGGCUGAAACAAACACUUACCAAUGAAGAAGAUGUGAAGUACAGAGACUUAUUAGAUCAGUAUCAGGGAAGAUUAGAGAUUACUUCUGGAGAUAAUCAUACAUUAAUGAGAGACAUCUCAAACUGUUUAAGAGAACUAGAGUGUGACUCAGUUUCCAAGGCUUCGAGUAGAUCACACAACAGUCGUACAUCAAGGUCAUCGAGGCAUUCCAAUACGUCCCGGGGUUCUAGAGAGUCGAUAGAUACAGUCAUAGAGGCAGCGGCCCUGAAGACAAAACUGAAGUAUAUUGACACGGAGGCAAAACACAAAGCAGACCUUGAAAGGAUCAGAGUCCAGAAGGAGCUUGAUAUAGCCCAGGCUAAGUUAGAAGCACUUGAGACUUUGGAGGAUACUGGACCAUUCUUAUACAGUGACUUUAAACAUUCCGUCCCGGAGCUUGACUCCAAGGAGCAUGUUAAAAGAUUUAUUGAUACUCAGGUCAGGCCAGAAGAGGAUAAGGCCAAGAUAGAACCAGUGUCUCAAGCGCCUCCAAUUCUGCAUAGGAACCUCAUGCUGCCUACGUUCACUUCUCCACAAACACAGCAGGAAAAUGUUGCCACCAGUAAUGCAUCAAGAGUUCCGCUAAGCAACGUAGACUUGCAGUCACUUAGUAAUCCUACACCGCCUAGUAGUGGUCUUAGACCUACGGAGCAAGGCUUAUUAGAUCUGGCUACUUCACUAGCGAAGCAAGUUAGUCUAGGUCGUUUACCUCCUCCUGAACCUACAAUUUUCCUAGGAGAUCCUUUGAAGUACCCUAGCUGGAAGGCAUCAUUUCAGACACUCAUAGAACAACGUCAGAUUCCAGCAUCAGAAAGGAUUCAUUACUUAAAGAAGUAUCUGGGUGGAUCAGUUAAAGACGUUGUAGAAAACUAUUUUCUACUGUCGACAGAUGAUGCAUAUGAGGAGGCGAAAGGACUAUUAGAACAAAGAUAUGGUAAUGCGUUUGUUGUUGCCAAUGCAUUCCGAGACAAACUGGAGAAAUGGCCGAAGGUAGGACCAAGAGAUGGUGUUGGGCUGCAGAGAUUCGGCGACUUUCUCAAACAGUGCUACACAGCUAUGCAGAGCAUUGGGAGCUUAAACAUCCUCAACGACGAGAGAGAAAACAGACGAUUACUAAGCAAACUACCAGACUGGCUAGUAACAAGAUGGGGUAGAAUUGCCACUCAAUACAAAGAAGAGAGGAUGGAAUUUCCUCCAUUUAAGAACUUCAUGGACUUCAUAGUUAAAGAAGCUAAGAUUGCAACAGAUCCUAUAACCUCGAUAGAGUCUGUGAAGAAGUCUGAACUCGCCCAUACAGAGCCGAGUAAACCACGACCUGAUUUCAAGGCACGACAGCGAGGUACAGCUGACUAUGGAAAACGGUCUUUCCUGACAGAUGUUGAUGAGGAUCAGGUUGCAAAUGUGAAUGUUGCAAAUAGGAGUGACAGAAGAAGAAAUUGUGUUUUGUGUGAAGGAAAUCAUGAACUAGAUGACUGUAAACAGUUCUUAACGAAGAGUUUGGAAGGAAGAAAACAGUAUGCGAAACAGAAAGGUCUUUGUUUUGGAUGUUUACAUGCGGGUCAUUUAUCAAGGAAGUGUCGUCAGAGAAAAAGAUGCAGAACUUGUUCCAAGUUCCACCCGUCAUCCUUACAUGGGGACGUAUAUCAACGAGGACAGCACCAGAUGGUGGAGGAUAUUAAGACAGUAGUGUCAAAGGAGAGUUCAUCAGGAACAACACUCAUGAAUCACUCUGGAGCAUCUAGUAAAAGUACCAUGAUACUUCCAGUGUAUGUUUCACAUAAAGAGAACCCAGAUAGAGAGAGGUUAGUUUAUGCACUACUCGACACACAGUCGGAUACCACCUUUAUUCUAGACAAGACUUCAAAGGCCCUUGGACUUGAAGGAAAACCUGUGAAGCUCAUGCUUUCUACCAUGUAUGCAGAGAAUAAAGCUGUAGAUAGUUGUAAGAUCGGAGGACUUCUUGUGCGUGGUUUCAACAGUGAAAAUAGGAUACCAUUACCGGAAACGUACACAAGAGAGAUCAUGCCUGCCAACAGAUCUCAUAUUCCGACACCGGAAAUUGCAAGAAGAUGGCCUCACUUGGAGGUUAUUGCAGAUGAACUUCUACCUCUUGCUGAUUGCGAGGUUGGAUUACUUAUUGGCUACAACUGCGUGAAGGCUUUGACGCCUAGAGAUGUUAUCGUUCCAUCCGUAGACGGACCUUAUGGUCAACGCACUGACUUGGGGUGGAGUGUAAUAGGCAUAGUAGAGAAUGACUGUUCAACGGAAUGGGAUGAGGACCCCAUAGGAAUUAGUCAUCGUAUUGUUGCGUGCGAUGUGCCUACAGAACUUUGCAGAUCUGAAGUUUCAAGACCAGACCAUGUUGUAUUUUCCUUAAGGAACAAGAUAAAGGAAGUAAUCAACCCUGAAGAGGUAGUUAGGAUGCUUGAAGUGGACUUUAGCGAGAACUCAAAUAGUUCUAAACACAUUUCCUAUGAAGACAGAAAAUUUCUGGAUGCCAUGGAAAAGGGGAUUCAUAAGCUGGAUGGGCAUUAUGAAAUGCCAUUACCUUUCCGAGAAGCUAUGCCAUACCUGAGCAAUAAUAGAGACAUGGCAUUACAGCGACUGCAACAUUUGCGGAACCGAUUUGCAAAGGAUGCACAGUAUUGCGAGCAUUACAUUUCCUUCAUGAGAGAAUUGAUUUUGAAGGGUUUUGCAGAAAGAGUACCGGAAAAGGAAAUCAACGUUGAAAGUGGACAAGCAUGCAAGCCAAGUAUAUCAGAGGACGAUCCUGAGGUUAAGCGUUGCCAGGUGUUUGAGACGAAGGUGGAACCUACUGAAUAUACGUCACUAAUUGACUAUUUAGAACGUUGUUCUGAUUGGAAUCGUGCCAAGAGACUCAUAGCAAACUGUCUUAAGUUCAAGACGUUGCUUAGAAAGAUUCCUUGUCAGAAGGCAACAGAUGCAGUGCCUUCAAAGGAGCAAGGAUUGCCUGUAGCUUUAUUAGAGGAAGCAGAAUUGGCCAUUGUGAGAUUAGUCCAGAAAGAGGCCUUUAGUGAAGAAUUGAAAAUUCUGAACAACACCAAGGGAUGUGAAGAUGUUAACAGAAAGAAUGUUAGAUUAGCUAUCGGAGACAGCAAUCUGGACAAGAAAGGCAAGAGGAACGGUCAGCUUUCAACACUUGAAAGACCUAUUCACAAGUUAGUCUUGUUGUUGGAGAACGAGACCGGGGAAGACCCCACCGAGGAGCCAUAUUAG